rnacentral:tRNA from 1 species
AAAUAAGAAGCAAUAAUUGCAUUUAAUUUCGACUUAAAAAUAUGAUUUAAUCUAAAUCCUUAUUUU